rnacentral:rRNA from 1 species
GAUGAACGCUGGCGGCGUGCCUAAUACAUGCAAGUCGAACGCGAGCAGCAAUGCUCGAGUGGCGAACGGGUGAGUAAUACAUAAGUAACCUGCCCUAGACAGGGGGAUAACUGCUGGAAACGGCAGCUAAGACCGCAUAGGUAUGGACACUGCAUGGUGACCAUAUUAAAAGUGCCAAGGCACUGGUAGAGGAUGGACUUAUGGCGCAUUAGCUGGUUGGUGAGGUAACGGCUCACCAAGGCGACGAUGCGUAGCCGACCUGAGAGGGUGACCGGCCACACUGGGACUGAGACACGGCCCAG